rnacentral:rRNA from 1 species
UCAGCGACGGAUAUCUUGGCUCGAGCACCUAUGAAGGGCGCAGCGAAGUGCGAUAAUCGUUGUGAAUUGCAGAACUCCGUGAACCAAUGGCCUCUUGAACG